GACGAGCGCUGGCGGCGUGCUUAACACAUGCAAGUCGAACGGAAAGGCCCUGCUUUUGUGGGGUGCUCGAGUGGCGAACGGGUGAGUAACACGUGAGUAACCUGCCCUUGACUUUGGGAUAACUUCAGGAAACUGGGGCUAAUACCGGAUAGGAGCUCCUGCUGCAUGGUGGGGGUUGGAAAGUUUCGGCGGUUGGGGAUGGACUCGCGGCUUAUCAGCUUGUUGGUGGGGUAGUGGCUUACCAAGGCUUUGACGGGUAGCCGGCCUGAGAGGAUGACCGGCCACAUUGGGACUGAGAUACGGCCCAGACUCCUACGGGAGGCAGCAGUGGGGAAUAUUGCACAAUGGGCGGAAGCCUGAUGCAGCAACGCCGCGUGCGGGAUGACGGCCUUCGGGUUGUAAACCGCUUUCGCCUGUGACGAAGCGUGAGUGACGGUAAUGGGUAAAGAAGCACCGGCUAACUACGUG
rnacentral:rRNA from 1 species